rnacentral:rRNA from 1 species
CCGGUGGGGGGGGUCUAAUACAUGCAGUCGAGCGAAUGGAUUAAGAGCUUGCUCUUAUGAAGUUAGCGGCGGACGGGUGAGUAACACGUGGGUAACCUGCCCAUAAGACUGGGAUAACUCCGGGAAACCGGGGCUAAUACCGGAUAACAUUUUGAACUGCAUGGUUCGAAAUUGAAAGGCGGCUUCGGCUGUCACUUAUGGAUGGACCCGCGUCGCAUUAGCUAGUUGGUGAGGUAACGGCUCACCAAGGCAACGAUGCGUAGCCGACCUGAGAGGGUGAUCGGCCACACUGGGACUGAGACACGGCCCAGACUCCUACGGGAGGCAGCAGUAGGGAAUCUUCCGCAAUGGACGAAAGUCUGACGGAGCAACGCCGCGUGAGUGAUGAAGGCUUUCGGGUCGUAAAACUCUGUUGUUAGGGAAGAACAAGUGCUAGUUGAAUAAGCUGGCACCUUGACGGUACCUAACCAGAAAGCCACGGCUAACUACGUGCCAGCAGCCGCGGUAAUACGUAGGUGGCAAGCGUUAUCCGGAAUUAUUGGGCGUAAAGCGCGCGCAGGUGGUUUCUUAAGUCUGAUGUGAAAGCCCACGGCUCAACCGUGGAGGGUCAUUGGAAACUGGGAGACUUGAGUGCAGAAGAGGAAAGUGGAAUUCCAUGUGUAGCGGUGAAAUGCGUAGAGAUAUGGAGGAACACCAGUGGCGAAGGCGACUUUCUGGUCUGUAACUGACACUGAGGCGCGAAAGCGUGGGGAGCAAACAGGAUUAGAUACCCUUGGUAGUCCUAA